UACGUAGGGUGCAAGCGUUGUCCGGAAUCACUGGGCUUACAGAGUUCGUAGGCGGUCUGGAAAGUUGGGUGUGAAAUCCCUCGGCUCAACCGAGGAACUGCGCUUGAAACUACCAGACUCGAGGGAGAUAGAGGAAAGCGGAACUGAUGGUGGAGCGGUGAAAUGCGUUGAUAUCAUCAGGAACACCGGUGGCGAAGGCGGCUUUCUGGGUCUUACCUGACGCUGAGGAACGAAAGCUAGGGGAGCGAACGGG
rnacentral:rRNA from 1 species